AAAUAAUUAAAUUUUUGAUUUUUGUUAAAACAUAAUAUUAUUUGCAUGACGAAACAAAAACAUACACGUAAAUCAUGGACAGAAUCACUUAAUGUAACAAAUAAGUGUUCAUUAUGUUAAUGUUCUAUCAUGUUCGAGAUUACUACAAUUUUUCGAUGGAAUCCAAAUUGUAUAUUUCUUUUUUUUUUCACAUUAGUUUUGUUCAUUUUAAUAUUUGCAUUUAAAGUCUUUUCAAACGAAUGAUACUCAAUCAAUUCUCCCGGAUUUUUCUGAUUAAAACGUGAGACGUCAAAUGACACAAAUUGAAAAUGUAUGU